UCCUGCGUAGCUACAGUUGGCAGAGCAUCCGACUGUUAAUCGGACGGUCACUGGUUCAAGCCCAGUCGCAGGAGCCA
rnacentral:tRNA from 1 species